AUACGGAAGGUGCAAGCGUUAAUCGGAAUCACUGGGCGUAAAGCGCACGUAGGCUGUUUGGUAAGUCAGGGGUGAGAUCCCGCAGCUCAACUGCGGAAUUGCCCUUGAUACUGCUGGACUUGAGUUCGGGAGAGGGUGGCGGAAUUCCAGGUGUAGGAGUGAAAUCCGUAGAUAUCUGGAGGAACAUCAGUGGCGAAGGCGGCCACCUGGACCGAUACUGACGCUGAGGUGCGAAAGCGUGGGGAGC
rnacentral:rRNA from 1 species